UACAGAGGGUGCAAGCGUUAAUCGGAAUUACUGGGCGUAAAGGGUGCGUAGGUGGUUUGAUAAGUUGGGUGUGAAAUUCCUGGGCUUAACCUGGGAACUGCGCUCAAUACUGUUGAGCUAGAGUAUUGUAGAGGAAAGUGGAAUUUCCAGUGUAGCAGUGAAAUGCGUAGAUAUUGGAAGGAACAUCAGUGGCGAAGGCGACUUUCUGGACAGAUACUGACACUGAGGCACGAAAGCGUGGGGAGCAAACAGG
rnacentral:rRNA from 1 species